rnacentral:misc_RNA from 1 species
CUCUGUUUGGAUCAAGAUGUUUUGGACAGAGCUACGCACAUCAGUCAGCGAUCAAGGGAAAUUCCAUAGCUGAUAGGUAAAGGCACUAAUCAAAACUAAGCGAAAGCUCGAUAACA